rnacentral:rRNA from 1 species
UACGGGGGGGGCAAGCGUUGUUCGGAAUUACUGGGCGUAAAGGGCUCGUAGGCGGCUUGGUAAGUCAGGUGUGAAACCCCCGGGCUCAACCCGGGGACGCCACCUGAUACUGCCAUGGCUUGAGUCCGGUAGGGGAGCGUGGAAUUCCUGGUGUAGCGGUGAAAUGCGCAGAUAUCAGGAGGAACACCAGCGGCGAAGGCGGCGCUCUGGGCCGGAACUGACGCUGAGGAGCGAAAGCGUGGGGAGCAAACAGG